GCAUGAGGUGGGAGGUUGGGUGAUUCCCGAAGUCCGAGCUCACGUAUCCGAUGCGCAACUUGCCACCAGAGGGCACAAG
rnacentral:miRNA from 1 species